rfam:Vigna angularis cultivar Jingnong 6 scaffold102_42, whole genome shotgun sequence.
AAAAAAGCAGGGGUUUGUCAAUCAUGUUGACCAAUCUUUAGUAAACUUCAGGAAUAUAAUAAUCUCCAUUGUUAUUGGGUGAACCUUUGUUCUUUUGUUGUGAUUGAAGGUUCAGUAAAUGAUGGAACACGU